rnacentral:rRNA from 1 species
UACGGAGGGUGCAAGCGUUAUCCGGAUUCACUGGGUUUAAAGGGUGCGUAGGAGGGCAGGUAAGUCAGUGGUGAAAUCUUCGAGCUUAACUCGGAAACUGCCGUUGAUACUAUCUGUCUUGAAUACCGUGGAGAUGAGCGGAAUAUGUCAUGUAGCGGUGAAAUGCUUAGAUAUGACAUAGAACACCAAUUGCGAAGGCAGCUCGUUACACGAAUAUUGACUCUGAGGCACGAAAGCGUGGGGAUCGAACAGG